ensembl:lncRNA
AGUGUUCAGUCAUCUGCCUUCACACACAUAUGAAAUGAAGUGAGCUUUUGCUGACAAUGUCUUUUUGAGGGAAGGCCUUGUUUAUUUCAGUUGGACACUACCAACACAUUAUGCAUUAUUACGACAGUAUGACUCUGCCAGUGGUAAACUGGCCAGACCUGUUACUCACUGAAAACAUUUGGUGUAUUAUGAAUGAAAAGAAUACAGCAAAGGAGACCACAAACUAUUGGGAAGCUGAAAUCCUAUAUCAAGCCAGAAUGGGAAAACAUUUCACUUUCAAAACUACAGCAGUGUCUCUUCAGUUCACAAAUGCUUACAGAGUGUUGUUAAAAGAAGAGAUGAUGCAGCACAGUGGUAAACAUCACCUUUUUUAAAAUGUGCUACUGGCAUCAAAUUCAAGAUUAGGCAUAUAUUUAAAUAAAUACAUACAUACAUACAUGCAUGAAUACCUUAAAUUUCUCAGUAUGACAGCUGUUAUUGCCACACAUUCAAAUAUUCUUGUUUCUUGGUUUAUACUCGUGGUUUUACAUGUAUUUAUUCUUUAACCUUCUACAAAGACAGAAAGCUCAGUGGAGCAGCUCCCCAAAGCAGGAGUUUCCUGUUGUAGUUUCUCAGAACUGCACUCACUUCAGAGAGACUCACACUAACACACAGAUCAGCAUUAGAGCACUGAGAGCUUAAACACACUACUGACUCCAUCUGAUCAUAUUCACAAUGAAGAGGAACCUCCUCAUCAUCCUCAUCAUCACAUCAGGUGUGUUUGGUGCUGAUCAAAUUGGACCAUCAGAAGAUCAGGAGACUGAUGUUUUUAGAAAAGAGGGAGAACCUGUCACAUUGAAAUGCUCUUAUGAAAUAAGUAGUGAAUUUGUCUUUCUCUACUGGUACAGACAGUAUCCUAAUAGAGCUCUACAGUAUUUACUGUAUAGAGGUGCUCAACAAAACAGUUAUAGCCAUACCUCAGACAGCAGAUAUUCAUCAAGUACAUCCAGAUCAUCAACUGAGCUCAGAGUUACAGAACUAAAACUGGCAGAUACAGCUCUCUACUACUGUGCUCUUAGAGUUGGAGCCCAGUCAUACAAAGUCUCUGAGACGCUUUACAAAAACUCUCAGACCUUCUGUUUGCUUUGAACACAGAGAGAUCAAAGUAACAUCCAAACCACA